CUAAUACUUACUGAAAUCUACUUAGAAUUACUAGGGUCACUGAAUUAUGCUUGUUCUAUUGCACAUGACAUAGAAAUUUUAAUUUAAGAGAAGAUUCAUGUUUUGCCUAAAUAAAAGUCUAAAACGUUAUUACUGUAUCAUAAUAUAUAUAUCUUUGUGUUCGUCUUCCUUUUUCUACUUGUCUGCUAUAUCCGUGUCACCCCUGUACACCUGAUGGACUAGUAAAAUUUUAACCCAUUAAGUUAAUUUGAAAAGCUGACAACCGCCAAAAUGAACUCAUAGUUUAAACAUCGAACUAACAUAACUAUAACAGUAAGAAUUAGGAAGUAUUUCAAAAAAAACUUCAACAUACCCUUUCAAGAGACGAGAGUGAGAGGCGGAGUUAUGGCAGAUAGCAAUUUUAAACAGAUGCAGUGAAGUUUUUUAUUACUUUUUUCUUCUUUCUGUUCAUUUUCAGUAAAUUUCUGAUUUUUUUUCUUCUAAUGGUUUACCAUUUGUCAAGCAUUCUAUUUUCUUUUACAGGGAGGCAGGUCACCUUGCUCUGUUAUACAGUCUUAAAUGUCUAUUUCGAUUUCAAACCACUGUCCACUUUUAUCAAAUUUCUAAAAAAUUAUUGUGUUU
rnacentral:lncRNA from 1 species